AAGCCAGCUGGUGAAGGACAGCAGAACUGGAAUGGGCCUUGUACUGCAGCUCAGGUCGCGGUCACCUGCUGUAUGCAACUUCAAGCUCACAUUUGGUUAGCAGGCUCAGUGAGAUGGAUUUCUGUGACACAGAGAGGGAGUGAACAGGGAUCUUAACAGCACGUGGCAAAGAAAGGAAGAAAGAAGUUACUGGAUGAACGCCCAGAAGAACAAGAAGAAUUUGUGACAAUCAGAAAAAAAUCUGUCUUGCAUGCUGUCAGGUGAGUAGGAGACAAGAUUUUUACCACAAGAUGCUUUAGGAGCUGUGAGAUGAGAACCUGGACUAAAAGCUUUAGUAACCAGACACAAAUUAAAGCCUUAAGUCACAAAACUACUUUGUUGGCUAUGUUACUGUGAAAAGUCAGCUGCUCUUCAAAUGCCUUGUGAUAACCUGAAGCUUUAAUAACAUGCAAGCCAAGAAUUAGAGAAGGAAUGCUCGACCGCAGGGAUUUCAGAAAUCCCUCGAUUACCCUGAGCUCGUUUCUGGUAAACUAUUAGCAGGGAUGAAUGCUCUCACUAACUGCUCCUUUCAAAUGUAAAUCUGUUUCAGAUCUAUGGGUGAUAAAUGAGAGCUGAGGAAAAAACUAAAAAGAGCUCACAACAGCUCGGGGUUCCUGAGGACCUGAGAAGAUGAUGAGGAACUCCACACAUUUCUACUGGAGCCGUGUUACUGAAGCUCGUAGCGAUGACAACUGCAGUGUAAGUAAUAAUCCGGGCUUCUCCCAGGCGCUGAUGGAUACUAAAAGCCCUCCCUGUUCACAGAAGAAUGUUAAGUGACAAGAGAUGGUCAAAUGAAAAGCAUCUGCUCAAAGCAGAGUUAUGACAAAAAGAAAACUCUCAGGAUAAAUAAAAGAUUAGACUAAUGAAAAUGAGACUGGCUUAAUUUAAUAGCGUAACAGCUCCAAUGUGCAUAAAAUGGUUAUGCCUGUACAGUUAGGUCUGCAUAAUGGUACAUGUGCCGUAAAGAUACUUUAGCUUAAAUAGUCCUCUGACACCUAUGUAAGUUUAUUGAAGAUGUGCGUUCAGUAUCUGACGGCAGACUUAAUUAUGCUUUCAGCUAGAAGUAUUCAGGCUGUGAGUAGGCUAUUUAGAACUUGCAAAACUAUUUCUAAAGCUCAUGUUAAGUUUAUGACAAGUGAUGGAGUCAAUUUAAAAAGGAGAGGGAAAGAGGACACUUGUUAAACAAACAAAUAGUAUUAGAUACUUUCAGGCAAACCACCAUGUGAAAAUGACACUUGAUUUACUGUGACAGGGAGGACUGGUGUAUUUUAACAAGAACCCAGGUCUUCAGAGACACCUAAACACCACCACACGGUUGAUUUGAAUAUCUUGAGCAUUAAGAAACAACUGCUUUGUGUUACCUUCUAUGGGCAACCACUCUACUAGGAUGCACUGGUGUGUGACUCCAACUGCCACAGCUUGUUCUACUAAUUUUCUUCCUUCACUUUUAAAAGGUUACUGUGCAUGAAGACACAGUUCAAAGAGCUUAAGCUAUUUUUAGAGAAAUCAGUCUUUCCUGUGACUUUGCACAAAAGGCUUGCCUUUUGAUUAUGUACUUCACUGAAAGAUGUGAAAAAGCCGCUCCCAAAAACUGCUUUUUUCCAGGGCUUACUUUACAUAAUACUACUGAGUGCUUAAUUUUAAACAAUUAAAUUUCUGUUUUUGACAACAAGAAGUAGGCAGGAAUAGUGACAUGCUCCUAUUCUCCCCUGGUCUGUUCCAGGAAACUUUGCUGGGGGCUUGUCCACACUUGCUGACAGUUUUAGCUGUUCUAUUUUCUUUAAACACCAUCCAAAUGACAUAUAGAAUCUGAUUUAUUUUUCCUACUGCUAUUUUUUCAUUUAUAUUCCUGAGCAACGCAGCCAUCAUGGGGAAAAAAUCAGAGAGGAAGUCAAGAGGACGUGUACCUGGAAGACUUUUCCCAUGUAUCAUGUGUUGGAAGGAUCAGAGAGACAAACACCAGUAGCCUGCAUAGCUGCCACUAUUGAGCUAUAACAUGACACUUGAUUCAAGCACAGCCAACGACAAUCUCGGAGUGGUACCUUCUGCAAGAGUAAAAAUACUGAGUGGUAAAUUUAAGAGAGAGCUCUGCUCGCUACACCUGCUUUAGCCAGAAAAACUGCAACAAUUUAUUUUGUACCGUCAAAUAAAAUAAAUGGAUCUUGUAACACUAGCAAUCUAAUUCCCUGCGUACAGUAUAAUCUCACUGUAAAGAAACAACACAGAUACUUUUUAUGCACUCGACCAAAUACUCUAUCACCCUGCCCCCAGAGGUAACUGCAGCUUACAUAAUGCAUUUCAGUCCUGAUCUUCUAUCACUGCAAAAAUAACUGGCCUGUACCUGUCCCAGCUAAACCCACUGAUGUGCUCCCCAACUCAGUUUUACCCAAGGAGUGACUGACAGAGGAAGCUGUAAACCACAAACCAGCCCCAGCGAGUACAACUCCUAGCAUGGCAGGGGCGCCUGGACAGUCCCAGGCUUGAUACUUUCCUCAGAAUUUCCAAGCAUCCACACACACAAACAGCAGUCAGUGCAACUGAAAUACAGCCUACGAGCAUCUGUGCUGCUGUAGCAGUCAACCGGCAGCGCUCCCACCUACUGCAUUUCAAGAAGUCUGUUGAGCUGUCAGCGUGUCGGCACUCUACAAUGGUGGGACAGCUCAGAAAGUAACUAGCUCACAAAAUGCUUCUUCAUUACACUGAUUGUGAGCAAAUCUUCUGUCUUCAUUUAACAUUAUACACCAUUAGGAAAGUCAAGCUGCAGGUAAAGGGAACGCCUGAUGAAGCAAAAGCAGUUUGGAAGACAUUGUCAUGAACGAUCACUCUUACAGCCCGAUCGCCUCUUUCUGUAGUUGACUCCCACACUUAAAUUCUUGUUCAUCUCUAAAAACUAAUUGCAAUCUAAAAAAAAAAAAAAAAAAAACCAGCA